UACGUAGGGGGCAAGCGUUGUCCGGAAUCAUUGGGCGUAAAGCGUCCGCAGGUGGCUAUGUAAGUCUGCUGUUAAAGAGUCUAGCUCAACUAGAUAAGAGCAGUGGAAACUACAAGGCUAGAGUACGUUCGGGGCAGAGGGAAUUCCUGGUGUAGCGGUGAAAUGCGUAGAGAUCAGGAAGAACACCAGUGGCGAAGGCGCUCUGCUAGGCCGUAACUGACACUGAGGGACGAAAGCUAGGGGAGCGAAUGGG
rnacentral:rRNA from 1 species